rnacentral:rRNA from 1 species
AUUGAACGCUGGCGGCAGGCUUAACACAUGCAAGUCGAGCGGAGCGAGGGUGCUUGCACCUUAGCUUAGCGGCGGACGGGUGAGUAAUGCUUAGGAAUCUGCCUAUUAGUGGGGGACAACAUUCCGAAAGGAAUGCUAAUACCGCAUACGCCCUACGGGGGAAAGCAGGGGAUCUUCGGACCUUGCGCUAAUAGAUGAGCCUAAGUCGGAUUAGCUAGUUGGUGGGGUAAAGGCCUACCAAGGCGACGAUCUGUAGCGGGUAUGAGAGGAUGAUCCGCCACACUGGGACUGAGACACGGCCCAGACUCCUACGGGAGGCAGCAGUGGGGAAUAUUGGACAAUGGGCGGAAGCCUGAUCCAGCCAUGCCGCGUGUGUGAAGAAGGCCUUUUGGUUGUAAAGCACUUUAAGCGAGGAGGAGGCUACUAGUACUAAUACUACUGGAUAGUGGACGUUACUCGCAGAAUAAGCACCGGCUAACUCUGUGCCAGCCGCCGCAGUAA